CCUACGGGAGGCAGCAGUGAGGAAUAUUGGUCAAUGGACGAGAGUCUGAACCAGCCAAGUAGCGUGAAGGAUGACUGCCCUAUGGGUUGUAAACUUCUUUUAUAAAGGAAUAAAACGAGGCACGUGUGCCUUUUUGCAUGUACUUUAUGAAUAAGGAUCGGCUAACUCCGUGCCAGCAGCCGCGGUAAUACGGAGGAUCCGAGCGUUAUCCGGAUUUAUUGGGUUUAAAGGGAGCGUAGAUGGGUUGUUAAGUCAGUUGUGAAAGUUUGCGGCUCAACCGUAAGAUUGCAAUUGAUACUGGCAGUCGUGAGUACAGUAGAGGUAAGCGGAAUUCGUGGUGUAGCGGUGAAAUGCUUAGAUAUCACGAAGAACCCCGAUUGCGAAGGCAGCUUACUAAACUGUGACUGACAUUGAUGCUCGAAAGUGUGGGUAUCAAACAGGAUUAGAUACCCUGGUAGUC
rnacentral:rRNA from 1 species